AACGCGAAGAACCUUACCUGGACUUGACAUGCUUUUGACCGCCGUAGAAAUAUGGUUUUCUCGCAAGAGACAAAAGAUACAGGUGCUGCAUGGCUGUCGUCAGCUCGUGCCGUGAGGUGUUGGGUUAAGUCCCGCAACGAGCGUAACCCUUGUCGUUAGUUGCCAUCACGUAAUGGUGGGCACUCUAGCGAGACUGCCUAGGUUAACUAGGAGGAAGGUGAGGAUGACGUCAAGUCCGCAUGGCCUUUAUGUCCAGGGCUACACACGUGCUACAAUGGUCGGUACAGAAGGAAGCAAAGUCGCGAGAUGGAGCAAAUCCCCAAAGCCGACCUCAGUUCGGAUUGGAGUCUGCAACUCGACUCCAUGAAGAUGGAAUUGCUAGUAAUGGCGGGUCAGCAACACCGCCGUGAAUCCGUUCCCGGGCCUUGUA
rnacentral:rRNA from 1 species